rnacentral:rRNA from 1 species
CGACCGGCGCACGGGUGAGUAACGCGUAUCCAACCUGCCCACGUCUGGGGAAUAACCCGUCGAAAGGCGGACUAACUCCCCAUGGUCUCCGAUGAGGACAUCUGAAUUGGAGUAAAGCUUCGCGGACAUGGAUGGGGAUGCGUCUGAUUAGGUAGUAGGCGGGGUAACGGCCCACCUAGCCUACGAUCAGUAGGGGUUCUGAGAGAAGUCCCCCACAUUGGAACUGAGACACGGUCCAAACUCCUACGGGAGGCAGCAGUGAGGAAUAUUGGUCAAUGGACGCGAGUCUGAACCAGCCAAGUAGCGUGCAGGAUGACGGCCCUAUGGGUUGUAAACUGCUUUUGCGCGGGGAUAACACCCUCCACGUGCUGGAGGUCUGCAGGUACCGCGCGAAUAAGGACCGGCUAAUUCCGUGCCAGCAGCCGCGGUAAUACGGAAGGUCCGGGCGUUAUCCGGAUUUAUUGGGUUUAAAGGGAGCGCAGGCCGUGAGGUAAGCGUGUUGUGAAAUGUAGGCGCCCAACGUCUGCACUGCAGCGCGAACUGCCCCACUUGAGUGCGCGCAACGCCGGCGGAACUCGUCGUGUAGCGGUGAAAUGCUUAGAUAUGACGAAGAACCCCGAUUGCGAAGGCAGCUGGCGGGAGCGUAACUGACGCUGAAGCUC